AACCUUUCCGGUGGCUUAGUGAUUAGAGCGUCCGCUUUGGAUGCGGUAGGCUGCGUGUUUGACCCCCGACCAAGUCA